AGGUGAAGGUUCCCAGCGGAGAGGAAGCUGUCUCGAACGACACCUCUCUAACACUAAAUCUAAACCUUCGCAUAUGGAUUUCGGCCAUCUUAAACGACGCUUCUCGAAAUUUUAAUUUUUGAUGCGUUUUGAACCCUUUGGCUAUAUUUUU